rnacentral:ncRNA from 2 species
ACGGAAAACAGGGAAGAGAUCCUUGCAAGAGGACACCGAAGGUGCAAACCCGGAGAUAGGCGAUCCCGGGCGAAACUCUCAGGUAAAAAGGACCCUGUUCCGAAU